rnacentral:lncRNA from 1 species
UCACUCUAUCCGCAUUGGGCGCAAAAAUCUUCCCAUAUAGGGAUGUUCAUACAUGCCUGGUUCCAAACCCGAAGGUUUUUUUAAUCUUGCUCAACAAUAAUAUGUAAUUUAACAUAUAUGUAUAGGGGUAAUUGACAAAGGUAUAUCAACAUGUGAAUAAAUGCCAUGAUUAUCCAAGUGGGGACACUUGUAUAACCAUUUAGAAAUCAACUUAACAGAAUAUAUAUCUGAGCUAACAUGUUGAUAAUCAAAGCGUACAUAAUCUGUACAGGAAUAGAAUAAUUCUGAAACUUCUUACUCAUGUCCAUUGCAUAAAGGAAAUGCAAAGGUAAGAUACUUGCCUGAUUUGCUGAUUACAAAUCUCAACUUAGGUUUUAUCUCUUUAUCACAACCUAUCAAUAAUCAGAUCAUUCGUUCGAUUAGAACAAUAUAUCAUAACACAUAGUACUGUCUAUUACAGUCAGCACAUAGUCUAAUCACGUUAUCACAUAAUCGCAGUGAUCAUACUUUUAGUUCAUAUUCUACACUUGAAAUAUUUUUAUACAUUUUUCAAAUAUUUCAUCCAUGUUCUUACAGUAGCCUUUUCUUUCUAUUGUAGGGUCUGACAUUUGUCGGCGUACCGACAGCUUUAUCGGGUAAAUACUGAGUCUAAGACUCUUAUUCUAUACCUCAACAUUUGAAAAUAUCAGACAUUUUAUUUUUAAUCAUUUUCGAAAUUUUCAGAAAUUGAAAAAUUUCAAAUAAUUUAAAUCUAUCUCUAAAAGGAUUUAUAGUGACAUAAAUGUCAUUAUAGGUGCUCUUCAUCAAAUCCUGGACUUCAUAACCGGUUCUCAAGUCAGCUAGUUUGACCGGAUAUAACUUUCAAACAUCGGAAUCAUAAUUAAAUGAUUUAAACAUUAAACAAUUCCAUUAUCAUUAAUAAUUAAUUUAUAUUAAACUAUUAAUGAAACCAUUGCCAAAAUAUAAAAGUUAUUUAUAAUAACUCAAACUAUUUUUAAAACAUUUAUAUUACCCUUAAAUGAUUUUUAAAACAAUUAAAAUCAUUUUUAAAUAAUCACCAUUAAUAUAUAAAUAUUAAUGUACUAUUCAUCCAAAUAUUAAAAGUCAUUAAUUAUAACUUAAAAUAUUUUUAAAUCCUUAAUAUCCU